AGUGAGCGCUGGCGGUAGGCCUAACACAUGCAAGUCGAACGGCAGCACAGUAAGAGCUUGCUCUUACGGGUGGCGAGUGGCGGACGGGUGAGGAAUACAUCGGAAUCUACUUUUUCGUGGGGGAUAACGUAGGGAAACUUACGCUAAUACCGCAUACGACCUACGGGUGAAAGCAGGGGAUCUUCGGACCUUGCGCGAUUGAAUGAGCCGAUAUCGGAUUAGCUAGUUGGCGGGGUAAAGGCCCACCAAGGCGACGAUCCGUAGCUGGUCUGAGAGGAUGAUAAGCCACACUGGAACUGAGACACGGUCAAGACUCCUACGGGAGGCAGCAGUGGGGAAUAUUGGACAAUGGGCGCAAGCCUGAUCCAGCCAUACCGCGUGGGUGAAGAAGGCCUUCGGGUUGUAAAGACCUUUUGUUGGGAAAGAAAAGCAGCAGGUUAAUACCCCGCUGUUCUGACGGUACCCAAAGAAUAAGCACCGGCUAACUUCGUG
rnacentral:rRNA from 1 species